rnacentral:lncRNA from 1 species
GUAGCGGAUGAGGUUACGCAGGCAAGUAUGAGGCGCUUCGAAAGCGCAUCCUUGCCGAGGUACCUGACGCUGACGUCGUAGGGUCAAAGGGUCGCAGAAGUACGUAUAGUUUACAAUAUAGAAAUAUAGGAAAAUAUAUAUGACAAACAUUAUAUACAGUGAUACCUGUCUAAUCUAUACUAUGUUUUUAAGUCAAGUCAUAUAAAGUUUUAUUUGUUAUGAACCUGAUUAUAAAACCGAACUUCUACCAAAACCGAACACAAUCUCAAGUCCCGAAGCAGUAAGUUCAGAAUGUUUUCACUUUACCUUAGAUUUACAAUCAUGCAAUGUCCGGAGAUGUGAAGUGCAAGACAAAAUCCUAGGCCAAAACAAUAAACCUUGGAAUUUUAUACAAAAGGUGUCUUGAUAUUUUCGUUUUUGUUCUGUCAAAUAUUGAUAAAUACGUGUAGUUGUAAACAAAAAUUGCUUAAAGGCGUUCUCCUUUAUCUUUUUUUUUUUGCGAGACGAGAUAUUCCGUUGGUCCAAACAUAAUAAACUUACUAAACUAGAAUGAUAACGACGUUAACUAUAAAAUACAACUUGCGAAGAAAAGAAAAUAAAACAGACACGAACCAACAACAACCACUGAACUGGAAACUCCUGGCUUGUGACUUGUACUUGAACAUUAUUGCAUGGUUAAUAUUAAAAAAAAAUGUGGUAUGAUUGCCAAUGAUACAACUGUCAACAACAGACCAAAAUGACACAGAAAUUAACAACUAUAGGUCAUCGCACGGCCUUCAACAAUGAGCAAAGCCCAUACCGCAUAGUCAGCCCCGAAAUGACAAUGUAAAAUAAUUCAAACGAGAAAACUAACGGCCUUAUUUAUGUAAAAAAAAGAAUCAUGUUUGUGAGCUCUCAACCCUCUCCCUAACCUGGGACAUUGGUGUAACUGUACAAAAUAAGAACCGAUACCGUUUUACAUUAUUUGUUGACGAUGAAAUUUCUUGGUGUCUAUGGACAAAUAUUUCAAGUAUAUCUUGAACGUACAUGAAUUAAGUAUUAGAUCAAUUAUCAAUUGUUUUGCAAUUUUGCAUCCGAUCCCUCGUGUAAAGAGAGUGCAACAGUAUUUGCACGUUAAGAACCCUUGCAACAACUCUUUGAGGGGUCCGUAGGUGGCCUGUUGCAAUGUAAAAUUUCUGUCCCUAUCCAAUAUACCCUCAUUUCGCAGUGGCAGUCCAAAUUUCCCCGACCAUCAUCCCAGAUGGCCUCUCUUGUGACAAGACCUACCUAUUAUAUUUAUUGUGAACUUGUUCUCGUCCUGAAUAUGCAUGAAACAUUUGCCACUGGAAGUUAGGCAACCAACAAUCAAUCAAUCAAUUUUGCAAUGUUGGUCGAAUAUUAUCAAUAACAGAUAAUCUUCCUUUUCCAACCAGACGUAACUGGCAGCGUACAUGCAUACUUGUACAUCCCAUAACAAGACAAGUGCAAUUUUCUUCUUCGUUUUUGAAGCAUUUUUAAAUAAUUAUUCUUUUUUGUACUUUUUGAAUUAAUUUAUCAAACAUUUUCAAACAAAAGACAACAAGACCAAAACUUGUGUAUUUUAAAAUUGAAGCGGUUCCCGAUAGAUAAUUUAUUUGUUUCAAAUGGAAAGAUAGAAAUCCUAAGGGAAAAAGAAUUUGUUAUUCUAUAAAUCAUGUAAAUGACAAUAUCAUAAUCCGAAGUUUGAAAUAAAUGCCAGGGAAAACGACCAAUCGUCUUCGAGAGAGAUCAAAGAAAAACAUUGAAUAAGAUGAGUAGCGACGGAUUUUUAUAAUUAAUUUACUAUCAUCUGUACCCAUAACUUCAAUAUAAUGCAGUAUAUCAUAUUGGGUUUUUCGUUCAUUGUCAUGUAAAUAACCCUAAUAAGUUUUCACCCUUGAUUGUAUAUGCGUUUGCCAUCUUUUUGCCUUUUUAUAGAUAACUAUGUAGUAUACGGGUUUUAUUCAUUUUUGAAGGCUGCAUUGCGUCCUAUAAUUGUAAACCUCGAUUUUUUUGGCAGUUAACUUAGUCUCUGGUGGAGAGGGGUUUCACUGGCAAACAUAACAAAUAUUUUUAUUCCUCUAAUUCUAUGGAAAUAUAUCCCUUUCAUAACCCAUUGUAUAAAACAAUUUAAUCAACGUGUGGUUGCCUGUGAUCUCAGAUGAUGAUUGGCUGAGUAAAAAGGUCACAACCUUUCUCGGCUCCCUGAAAUUAUCAAAGUGUUAAUGCAAUUGACAACUUCGUGGAAGUACAAGGCACUCGAAUGGGAUUUUUAGUUUAGAAAUUUUAUCUGUUAAUCAUUAGAGAAACUAAUCAUUAGAUAGUAACGUUUGGGUUAUCGGAUUUAUCAAAUCUCGAUAGUACAAUUAUAAAUUUUUCAGUCCGAGCCUCGGCGAGGACUUUAAAUUUGAUAAUUUAACUAUGACGAUUGGAUAAAUCUGAUAACUCAGUGACACUUGUAUCAAUGCAAUACUUUAUAUUUAUUAUUUAUACAUAUGAUAUAUAUAUAUAAAUUUUUUUAUUUUAGCUUCAUUUGAAAUUACGAUCAAUGAUACAGAGGUUUUUUCUAAAUUGAAGUUGAAAGGUUGGCCAAUCGAAGAGGAUGUAAGUUCGAUUUAUUUUUUCAUGUGUAUUAGUCCAAGGUAGUUUAAUAAUCUUUAACGUUGGACUCCACUUGUCCGUAUGAUGAAAGUGUUUGGUAGCCUUAGAUAUAAAAAAAAACUGAAUAUAGGUGAUCAUAGGUAAACCGAUAGAAUUAUGAACUGACGUCAUGUAAAAGAUAGUCAAAAUAUACCAAAUAGAUAUUCAAUAACGAAAAACGAUGAACAGAGUGAGACUAACAGAACUUGUUUUUCCCAACAUAGAAAACCGAAAACCGAGCAACACGAAUACAUGCAAUAACCGGAUGGUCGCAGGCGCUUCGGACGGGUAAUCAGAUCCUGUUCCACAUGCAAAUAUCCUGUAGAUUAAUAAAGAUUUUAUGCAUUUGGCCAUAUACAGUCUUUUUCAUUUAAUUCCCGAUUUGAACAUUGACGUAUAUGUAAUUGUCAGCUAAAAAAAACUAUAUCAAAUAAUUAUCUAGAUUGACCAGAAUAAUAAGCUUAGUUACACGAUACUUGUUAGCCAUGGACAUAUAUAUGUAUUAAAGGGGAUGGGAUUGCAAAAAAAAAAAAAAAAAAUCAGAAAUAAUUUUGAUUGUCACAGAAAAUAAAUGGAUUUCAAUGGUCUCUGUCUUCUAUAUGAAUAGACCGAUUAGAAAGCAACAGACGAAAAAAAUGCCACACAUAGAAAUACAUGACUAAAUACAUUAUUUGCAUACAAAGUAGACGCUUAGCCGCAGUUAUUCAAGGUUGCUUUUCGUUUCACAAGUAACCCUCUUUAAACAUAUCCACCAGUCUAUACACAAACAGUUGAACGGUAGCUGAACAAUUAACAAGUAGAUAUUAGUGUAUAAUAUAUAAAGAUGAUAUGUCAGAUAAUAUAAACCAUACAACUGAUGUAUUCAUUGCAAUUUGAUUUGAUUUUUUUGUGUUUUAACACCACUUUUAAGCACCGCUUUUGGGCUAUUUCGUGGAAGCCAGUUUUUAUUUGUUGAGGAAGCCGGAGUGUCUGGAAAAAACCCAAUCGACCUUCGAUAGGAAAACUGACAAUCGUAGUCAAUUAAGAUUGGAGUCGAGUUCACCUUAUUGCAAUUUGAAUAAGGCAAAAAAAAAAACCUUAGUUACGGUAGUCAGAGAUUGAGCAGGAUGAAACCAUUAUUUCAGAGCACACGAAUGAGAUCCCCGUGGUUUUUUAGGGAGUUCUUGCUGUCGUUUUUCUAUGUUAAAAUGUAUUGUGUACGGUUUUUUUGUUGUUUUAUUUUGCCAUAAUAUGGUUAGUUUGUUUUUGACUUUUAAGAUUGAAUAUCCCUUUGACAUGUUUGCCUUUCUUUAUCAAUAAAUUGCUGAAAUACGACAUAUUUUUUUUUUUAUGUUUCAGCUGAUUGAGGUUAUACGACAAGCUGAUCAUGGUAUGGAACCAAAAGAAUUAUCAACGUGCAGGAAAGCUUGUUGUGUCAUUUGUUAAACUGGGAUGUGAUUAAAAAGACGGACAUUAAAAUAUUUGUAAAAUGUAAAACAAAAAUUUUAUUCGCAUUUGCCAUUCAUGUAGCUCACUGAAUGAAAG